GUGAGGCUCCUGUGUCCUUUCACGUGAGACUUGGUCCUGGGGUGGGAGUGGCCACCGAUGAUGACUCUAAUGUGGACACUUCUCCCUUUUUUGGUUGGAGGCCAAAGAAGAACGGAUCGUUGAGCUGGAAACGGAAAACGCUGCUCUUCACCUGAGACUGGCCCAGCGCCUAAGGCUGGCGGGGACGGCGGAGAGGAGGCGGCGCGAGGGCCAUUCACAGAGGACACGCGCUCUCCUCCGGCUGCAGCAGGCGGCUCAGCGGCUGCGCCGGGACCUGCGGGAACUCCGGGCCUCCUCUGCAGACCUUCUCUGGAGCUGCCGGGACCAGCAGCAGGGCUGUCUCUCCCAGAUCCUGGCGGCUGUGCAGAGCACGCAGCACCACGGGGCGCGGCCGUCCUGGCGCGCCAGGGCCCUGUGCCUGGAGCAGUCCUUGCAGGAGCUGAGCGCACGCUUCCUCCAUGAGAGGCAGAGGCGGCGGCAGCUGCACAACUGCCUGGUGGUGAGUGUGUGGGAGCCUCCUGUGCCUGCAGGGACCUCAGGAAGGACGACCAGAGAGGGCAGGAGGGGCAGGGGAGCCAAGGGGCUGGCGCUUCCCUCCCGGGGCCGGGCGCGGGAGGGG